AUGUACACUGAUGCAUGGCCUCAAGACGCCGAUGGUGACGAAUCAUCAUCGGUCGAGAUGUUUCAGGAUCUACUUGCUGCUGCAGAUCUGUAUGCACUAGACAGGUUGAAGCUCAUGUGCGCACGAAAGUUGUGGGAUAACGUGACGGUACAUACUGUUGUGAGUAUCUUGGUUUGUGCUGAAACGUAUGUCUGCCCGGAGUUGAAGAACAAAUGCCUUGACUUCUGCACAGUGGGAAAAAAUUUCAAGGAGGUAACAUCCACCGAUGGCUAUGCAUGGCUAGAACUGAGGUUUCCCUCAAUUGCUGCAGAGAUAGGAGAAAAGUUUAGGAGAUAA
rnacentral:rRNA from 1 species